rnacentral:lncRNA from 1 species
GGAGGGGUGAAUAGAAAGUAGGCAGGCUUCUGGGUGGAUGGGGCCCAGCACCCACAGCCUAGGCUGGCUGCCUGAGAGUAGCGAGUGACAGGUAAGGGCUCUGAACCUUCCUGCGUGCUACCCAAGGAGUGCCUAGGGCUACCAGGAGGCCCAGGGAGGAACCUUGAGACCUGAGAAAGGCUUUUCUUCCCCGAGAGGACCACUGCUCAGGCUCAGAGGCCAUGGGGUGAAGUGCACAAAAAAGUGGGCGUCCAGCCAUGCUCUAAGUCCCCCGAAGAUGAAGACCAGGGAGCAGCUUCCUCCAAUGAAGCAGCAGCAAUCAGAGGACCAGGAGGCUGAAGCCCUGAGCCCAGCCAGAGGCAGGAUCAGCCAAGUCUGGGACAGGCUUCAAUUAUUUUAGGCAGAGCUUCUGGUUCCUGGGCCUUCAGACUUGGACUAGAACUUCACUACCAGCUUUCCUGGGUCUCCAGCUUGCAGAGAGCAGAUCGCAGAACUUCUUAGCCUCCAUAAUCACAACGUGUUUGCUUCCCCUUCCACCAUGAUUGUAAGUUUCCUGAGGCCUCCCCAGUCCUGCAGAACUGCUUUGAAGAAGACCACUGCGUCGGUAUUUGUGAAAUGUUUUGAGCCUCUGGAUUUAAAUAAGUAUAUGUCCUCUGCGCCCCCAUACCAUGGUGUAAGCCCCAGGAGAGCAGAAACUUCCUUUGUCUACCCGACAGGGCUGAAGCCUCAGAGUCUGGAUCAGUGUCAGGUACGGAGAAGGUGCUCUGGUGGAAACCUCAGUGGCAACGUUCAGCUCACAGUGGGAAACUCGGGCCUUCAGACCAGGGAAGGGGGCCGUUUGAAGAUAUGAGUCUGGAGUGUGACUGAUGAAGCCAAAAGCAGGCACAAACUCUCUUUUUAUGACCAACUUUGGAUAAUGAGCUCAAGCCAUGUAUAAAAACAUUCCCCAAAAGUGCUUUUCUAGAUGAAAGGGAGAAAAAUAGCUAAAGUGAUCCAUCUUCCUUUCUUUGAGGAAGGUUGGCACCGCUUCUGUUGCUUCCAGGAAGAUUGCAUACACAUGUAAAACCGGAAAAACGUUAAUGAAGAGAAAAACUAAAAGCUCCCGCCCCCACCCAGGCCUGCUCAGAAGAACCCAAGCCACUCAGAAGCAGGAGGCAGCCUUCACCCCAACCAGACCAAUAUCCGUUCCAGACUCAGGAUUACAACAAUCUGGGAGAGGGUCAACCAAGUCAGAGUCCCACAUGGCAGAAGAGCUGCUUUAGCUUAAGACUCUUAACUCUUUUUCUUCGGGGCAGGAAAGGUUUGAGCCAAUGAAGGAUGAGGCUUUCCAGGCCCAGGACACAACCUUGAUCCAAGGCCUAGUUGUGGCUUUAAUUUUUGUAAAUCAAGCCUCAAGUUUUUCUUCACUCUUUUAGCCAAAGAUAUGUUUCCCAGGAUGCAUGAAAUAAAUAAAUAAAAUGUACCAAAUUAGAGAUUGUGAGACAUGUAUGUCACUUAAAUCCUUUGUAGGCAA